rnacentral:rRNA from 1 species
UCACAUGCAAGUCGAGCGGAAACGACUUAACUGAACCUUCGGGGAACGUUAAGGGCGUCGAGCGGCGGACGGGUGAGUAAUGCUUAGGAAUUUGCCCAGUCGAGGGGGAUAACCAUUGGAAACGAUGGCUAAUACCGCAUACGCCCUACGGGGAAAGAGGGGGAUGUUUCGGCACCUUUCGCGAUUGGAUAAGCCUAAGUGAGAUUAGCUAGUUGGUGAGGUAAAGGCUCACCAAGGCGACGAUCUCUAGCUGGUUUGAGAGGAUGAUCAGCCACACUGGAACUGAGACACGGUCCAGACUCCUACGGGAGGCAGCAGUGGGGAAUAUUGCACAAUGGGCGCAAGCCUGAUGCAGCCAUGCCGCGUGUAUGAAGAAGGCCUUCGGGUUGUAAAGUACUUUCAGCGAGGAGGAAAGGGUGUGAGUUAAUACCUUACAUCUGUGACGUUACUCGCAGAAGAAGCACCGGCUAACUCCGUGCCAGCAGCCGCGGUAAUACGGA